AUACCUUUCUCGGCCUUUUGGCUAAGAUCAAGUGUAGUAUCUGUUCUUAUCAGUUUAAUAUCUGAUACCUGGAUUAUUGAUCCACAUGGUAUUAAAUUAAUUUUUAUAGGGGAAGAUCCCAUCACAAUAGCUUGCUAUUGGGGUUCUCAAGUGUCGUCUGUGUAUUGCACUACUGCACAGACCUGGCACACCCCUC